CCUACGGGGGGCUGCAGUGGGGAAUUUUUCGCAAUGGGCGCAAGCCUGACGACGCAACGCCGCGUGGAGGAUGAAGGUCUUCGGAUUGUAAACUCCUGUUGAUCGGGACGAAAAGCUUCAACCUAAUACGUUGAAGACUGACGGUACCGGUUGAGGAAGCCACGGCUAACUCUGUGCCAGCAGCCGCGGUAAUACAGAGGUGGCAAGCGUUGUUCGGAAUUACUGGGCGUAAAGGGCGCGUAGGCGGCCUUCUAAGUCGGACGUGAAAGCCCCAGGCUUAACCUGGGAACUGCGUCUGAUACUGGGAGGCUUGGAUUCGGGAGAGGGAUGUGGAAUUCCAGGUGUAGCGGUGAAAUGCGUAGAUAUCUGGAGGAACACCGGUGGCGAAGGCGGCAUCCUGGACCGAGAUCGACGCUGAGGCGCGAAAGCUAGGGGAGCAAACGGGAUUAGAUACCCCAGUAGUC
rnacentral:rRNA from 1 species